rnacentral:lncRNA from 10 species
CGGCAGAUUACUUUCCUUCUGGUCUUCCUGCACGGUCGCCUGACCCCUGCAGGACCCAAGAUCAGUGGGGUUCCCGGGUCUCCAUGGUGUCAGGCGCCCCAUUGUGACGACAAGGAGGAUGACCAAAACUAUGCCAGUGGUUGAGGAAGAAGAUAAGGAGGAGGAGUGGAGCUGCAGGGAGGAGGCUCGACAGGAUCGCCUCCAGCCUGGGGCAGCUGGGUUGGCGAGGCGGGGGCUGGUUGCUGCCCUGGCGGGCGAGGUGAUAAACCAUGUUGUAGAAUGCCAUUAUCCCCACCUCCAGCUGGGGGCGCCUGGGCGUAUCUGAAAACCUUGGGGGAAGUGUUCACGUUUUUGGCGCUUAAGAAAAGGAAGAAGCGGCAGCUAGCUGCAGAGGCUGUUCCAGGCCUUCCAGCGACAUCGCAGAACCUGCACCGAGUGCCACUUGGACCGCAGUCUGGACCUGAAGCCUUGGGCCGGGGCACCCGUAGGAGCUCAGCCCUCACCGCUCCCGCCCUCUUUGGAUUCUCUUCUCCCCGAGCUUGGCCAGAGUUCAGGUCUCCUGGUUUCUGGUCUGCCCGGUAAGAGUGCAGGAGUGCAGAGGUGAGGAGGGGGAGUUAGGAGUCUUGUUCCGGUUCUCAGCAUAGUGAGAAGUCUGAAAAGAGGUGAUGAUCCGGUUGUGCUUGAAGGGGAGAGGCCAAAGCCCAGGACAUUCUGCCUUUUUAGGGGAUUUACCUUUCAAGCCCUAUUUGGUCUCCACUAGCCUUUGCUUCUGAGGAUGAAGGAGUUGAGCCUCUGUUACAUGGAUGUCUACAGAGAUCAUACCCCUUGCCCUGAACGACCGAGAGACUGAUAGCUCUAGGGCCAGCACCUGAGAAGCCUGUAGCCUGCCUGCCAGUGGACUCCUGUAUCCGGAGUAGACAGCCCUCCUGACCCCCCUGCUGGCUGCCUGCCUCUAGUGUCUUUGAUUCCUGCAGCUGGCCAGGCCUUCCUUGCAAAUGACGCUGAGAUUCAGCAGUUUGUGCACAGAUCAGAUUGGCUGCUUGAGUCUUUGGCAUCCUGAGCCAUCUCCCUUGGGCCUUCAGAAGGGCUAUGUCAUCCUCGGUGGGCAUGGCCUGGAUCCUGUGACCUCUCCAUGGGUGUCCAGUCUCACCCUGCCUUCAAUCACUCGCUCAGCCUUUCCGGCUUUUUGGGGACAAGCCCCGAUCCACCAGACACGUCUAUUACCUGUGUGUUUCUUUUAGCAGUGUUCAAAGAAAGAGAUCUAUUUCCAUUUUUUCUCCCAUAACUUGACCUCUAACUCAUUCAUCAUAAUAUAAGCUUGACGGGUAGACAUGCCCGUAAAUGUGUGUCCAAAUGCUUACUGUGGGAAAGAGGUCUGCCUCCUGCUAAGCUGAUUUCCUGGUGAGCUCUGGGAAAUUCUUCCUGACUAAUGGGUUGUUUCAGCAUUGCAGUCUUGCUCUUUCUGUGGAUCCAGAUUCGGAAAAGAUUGUGCCUUUUGGUGAAACUCCUGAAUCUACAGGAGAUAAUCGAAAAGGCUGAAGGUCUGUGCAGAUGGCUGGUGCUGCUGCUCAAGCAGAAAGAGAAACUUCUUUGUGGCUUGUGUCUGCUCCCAACACAGGAGAGACUUGGGGUGUCCAGUCAGCUGUGGUGCUCCUACUUUGGAUUCUCAUUGAAGCUGAGGCUUCCUCUUUAAGGACACACCUGCCAGGCCAGCAUGCUCAUGGUCCUUGUCCUCCUGGCACAUUCUUUGGUACAGAGGUUAAGAUCCUGAUGAUGUGAGAGUGUGCCUCCUAGAGUUGGUCCUGUUGACACAUGGCCCCUGAGUGCCACGGAGGUUUGGAGAUCUCUUUUGUAUGCAGGGCCUGGAUGAGCUGGUGCAUUGCCACCCUUGAUGCCUGACUUGGGCAGCCCACAGAGGGAUCCCAGGGACCAUAAGAUGUGUAUGGUAGAGGAAGAACUGGUACAACUGACCCUUUGCUGGUGAAUGGAUUGAAGGCAGGAAGAAGAUAGGUUCUUCUUGGAUAGAUGUACAGGUGGCCUUGCUGCAGCUGAACAGUCAGGUGAAGCCUCUCACUUAGGCCUAGUGCUGGAGAAUUUACAGGCCCACUUCUGCUCUAGCCUGCACGACUGAUCCUUUGAUCUGACACCAGAUCUGAAUUCUGGACUCUGGAAUGC